rnacentral:lncRNA from 1 species
GCUGCCUGAGAUUCCUAAUAUAAAAUGAAUUCAUGAAGAAUUGAAUGGUGCUUGCUAUGUGCCUGACUGAUGAAAAUAAAUCAGCUUGCUUCAAGUAUGCCUAUUCUUCAAGUAUGCCUAUUCUCCCCUCUUUAGAGAACAGAUCAUUUUGAUCUUUCUCUAAACCUUGUUUAAUCCAAAAGACAGAUUCUGGGUAUUUAAAAAAAAGAAUCUCAUAACCACUGAAGCGCUGGGCUGUCAUGUGUUGUGUGGUGAGAUUUGUCAUCAGCUGAGUGACCUGGUGACUGGCAUGAAGUAUUGUAGGAUGCCCUAGUGUGAUAGUAGUAGCAGUUUCAACAGCCAUUGCACAUGCUAUCAAUGCUCUGAGACACGCCGGCAUACCCUGUACCGGAGCUCGAACUACUUUGGAAAAGAAUGCUAUGGGACGCAUACCGCCUCCUUGCUCUUGUGCACAGACUGCGGCCAUGGUUUUACAAUUGUCCCAAGCAUACAAAUGAAAUGGUUUACAAUACACAGGUAGUCCUAAAGCCUGGGCUUGCACAAUAACAACUGUAAGGGCAAUAUAUGCAGCUAGCAUGUCUGGUGACCAGCAGAUAUUUUCAGGGCUGUCAGAACGUACAGCCUCCCUUAGGAUUGAGUCAUAAUGGGAGCAUUCAGGGAUCCAUUGGUGGCAGUAAUUAAUCAUGCCGAGGAAGGUGAGCAACUCCUUCCGAGUAGUGGGUGUAGGAAUCCUCUGAAUGACCUCAAUACGUUUUGGACUCAAUUGUCUGGUGCCUAAAGCCAGAACAAAACCUAAGUAUUCAACCUUUGAUUUACACAAUUGCAUUUUGUGUUUAACAACCUUGUGACCUAUAGUUGCUGACAGUAUCCACAGUGCUUGCCUCAGAGCUAGGGCUACAUAACAACAAAUCAUCAACAUUUUGCAAAAAGGACGGAACCAUGACCGGUGGUCCAUGUUUUUUAGAGUAUGUUGGAGUACCAACGAAUAAACAGCUGGGGAACACACAUAGCCUUGGGUAAGCGUGUCCAGGUAAACUGACAGCCUUCAAAAAGUAAAAACCAUAAGUAGCUGUGUCUCUUGAUCAAUAGGUAUAGAAAAAAAUGCAUUACUUAAAUCAAUGACAGUGAAGCAAGUGGCAUCAUGUGGAAUGGCUGUAAUGAGGGAUGUCACAUCAGGGACAAUGGGUGAAAUGGGCACAAUUAAACUAUUCAGGGCUCUAAAGUCCUGAACUAAGCGAUAUGCUGGCCAGUGGUGUUGGGAGUGGGUCUGGUGUUGUUCUUGCCUACCGGGCAUAUUUUGAGAAUUGUGGGGUUGUUGGGGUGUGUGGGGUUUCCUGGGGUGUGGACACUCAUUCCUCCAGUGGCCAUAUUGUCCACAGUUGAAACAAGUGUUCCUGUCUAUUCCUCCUUGGUUACCCCUGCCCCUAUAACCCUGAUUUCCCUGUCUCCAUCACCUUGCCCCUCUUUGACCACCCCUUCCACGGGCUUUAUGUGCUCCAUCCCAUCCUUGCUCUCAGCCUGUGUAGGUGGCAAUCCCUGAGCAUAAU